AUUGAACGCUGGCGGCAUGCUUUACACAUGCAAGUCGAACGGUAACAGGGAGCUCGCUCCGCUGACGAGUGGCGAACGGGUGAGUAAUGCGUCGGAACGUGCCGAGUAGUGGGGGAUAACGCAUCGAAAGGUGUGCUAAUACCGCAUACGUACUGAGGUAGAAAGUGGGGGACCUUCGGGCCUCACGCCAUUCGAGCGGCCGAAGUCUGAUUAGCUAGUUGGUGAGGUAAAGGCUCACCAAGGCGACGAUCAGUAGCGGGUCUGAGAGGAUGAUCCGCCACACUGGGAGUGAGACACGGCCCAGACUCCUACGGGAGGCAGCAGUGGGGAAUUUUGGACAAUGGGCGCAAGCCUGAUCCAGCCAUGCCGCGUGUCUGAAGAAGGCCUUCGGGUUGUAAAGGACUUUUGUCCGGGAGCAAAUGCCUGGUGUUAAUAGCACUGGGAGCUGAGAGUACCGGAAGAAUAAGCACCGGCUAACUACGUGCCAGCCGCCGCGGUAAAAC
rnacentral:rRNA from 1 species